rnacentral:rRNA from 1 species
AAAUUUUGCGCAAUUGGGCGAAAGCCUGACGCAGCGACGCCGCGUGGAGGAUGACGGCUUCGGGUUGUAAACUCCUGUCAGAGGUGAAGAAAUCCUGAUUUAUCAGGUUUGACUGUAACCUCAGAGGAAGCCCCGUCUAACUACGUGCCAGCAGCCGCUGUAAUACGUAGGGCGCAAACGUUGCUCGGAAUUACUGGGCGUAAAGGGUGUAGUACGGUGGCUGAGUAAGUCACGGAUGAAAUCCCGAGGCUCAACCUCGGAAUUGUCCUUGAAACUGCUCAGCUUGAGGAUAGCUGAAGAGGACGGAAUUCCCGGUGGAGCGGUGAAAUGUCGUAGAUAUCGGGAGGAACACCAGAGGCGAAGGCGGUUUUCUAAGCUAUUCCUCACACUGAGACACGAAAUGCUAGGGGAGCAAACGGGAUUAGAUACCCCGUAUCCUAGUCCUAAAUCGAUG